AUUUCUGAAGUAAAUGUCUGAAGUGAGAGCGGACUAUGAAUCCUGCCUAAAUUCCUUGAGAACCAUUAUUGCUAGUCAGAGUUGACAAUACUAGGCUAGAUUGACCAAUAGCUUGACUCAGUUCAAGUGGCUAUUCAAUCCAGAAAGUUCCUAUGGUCUGUGAGAUUGUAAAGGACCACUUUUUGAACCUCUGAGAUCAUAUAAAACAUGGGAUCUAUGCAGAGCUUUGAACAAUUCUAUUUUUGGAUGUCAACCCCAGUUCAUGUCUAGUAUGAUGGAAAGGGAAGAAAUCUUCUUUGUUGGCUCAACAAUACAGUAGUAUCCUGUCAAAAGGAGAUGGUCCAGAAUUCUUUCAUGCUGUCUAGAGGACUGUAUUCAGAAGACCUUUGGUUGACAAAUAUAAUGAAUGAAUACCAUGUUUUAAUACAA